rnacentral:lncRNA from 1 species
UAAUUUAAAAGGUCAAGUGAAGCUGCUCCUCACGUUUUGGCGUGCCUGCGCUCUCUGCAGGCAGAAGCGAACAAAGACCCAGCAAGAGAAGGCAGAGGCUAAGACCCAUCCCGUAUCUGCUCUCCUGAAAUAAUUCUGGAGUCAUGCCUGAAAUGCCAGAGGACAUGGAGCAGGAGGAAGUUAACAUCCCUAAUAGGAGGGUUCUGGUUACUGGUGCCACUGGGCUUCUUGGCAGAGCUGUACACAAAGAAUUUCAGCAGAAUAAUUGGCAUGCAGUUGGCUGUGGUUUCAGAAGAGCAAGACCAAAAUUUGAACAGGUUAAUCUGUUGGAUUCUAAUGCAGUUCAUCACAUCAUUCAUGAUUUUCAGGUAUGAUUUAGGUUAUUUUAAGAUAUACAUGAACAAUAUUAAGAGUUGUCUGGAUGAUACAGAAACUAUCCUUGCUCUCAAGGAAAUUACUAUGUUUGAAAGCUCUAAAGUUGUAUUAUGCAGUAGCAUUUUUUUCAUUUAGCAUGACAUGGUAUAUGUAAACCUUAAAGUUAAAUUUUGACACGCUGACAAAGACAAAUAUGA